rnacentral:lncRNA from 1 species
AUGGAGGGGGCGGGGUUCCUGAGUCCAGAGCUGGAAGUUGGGUUCAGCGGCCCAAGACGCUGGCUCUUCCAGACUCCUUUGCGCUGGGGCAGUGCGUGGGGGCUGCUUGGGUCCCUCCCGGCCUGCCGGGACCCUCAGGCUCCCGGGGCAGGACCAACCCACCCGACCCAGUGGCGACUUCCAGGCCUAGAAGCCCCCACUUUGCUCCCUCCCCACUCCGGUCAGCCAGCCCAGGGCCCCUCAGGCCCAAGAUCCCCAGGCCCAAACGGCGAACAGGUCCCAGUAUCUGCCUGCUUUUGCACUUGGGGGUGGAGGAGCCACCUCGUGACGCCCCUUCUGCCUCUCACCAGCUUACCCCUUUCUCCCCGUUCUGUAGGCUUCCCUCUGGAGCCAGAAGGAAGCCCGGUGCCAGCCAGCCUUCCCGAAGGACUAAGCCCGCACCAUCCGGCUUCCUCCAGUGGGCGCCUGCAGGACCCAGUCCAAGUUGCAGUGUGCCUAGAUUUCCUCCAAGGACAAAAAUGUGAAUAAAGCAAUAUUUUAGCCAAACAUUUCCGUGUCAAUUAAGAAGAUGGCAAUUCGUUCCAGACUAUAAAUUCUCUUUAACAACUCCCUAAGGUAUUCUUUUAAAUUGUUUUUCAACA